rnacentral:rRNA from 1 species
AGAGUUUGAUCCUGGCUCAGAACGAACGCUGGCGGCGUGCCUGAGACAUGCAAGUCGUGGGAGAAAGUCGGGGCAACCCGGCGAGUAAACCGGCGUACGGGUGAGUAACACGUGGAUAACCUGCCUUGGAGUCUGGGAUAACCCGUCGAAAGACGGACUAAUACUGGAUAAGACCACGGGGAGUUAGCUUCCCGAGGUAA